rnacentral:rRNA from 1 species
CUAGGACGAACGCUGGCGGCAUGCCUAAUACAUGCAAGUCGAGCGAAUGAUGAAGAAGCUUGCUCUUCUGAUUAGCGGCGGACGGGUGAGUAACACGUGGGCAACCUACCCUAUAGAUUGGGAUAACACAGGGAAACCUGUGCUAAUACCGAAUAAUACAUUUUCUUUCAUGAGAAGAUGUUGAAAGAUGGUUUCGGCUAUCACUAUAGGAUGGGCCCGCGGCGCAUUAGCUAGUUGGUGAGGUAAUGGCUCACCAAGGCAACGAUGCGUAGCCGACCUGAGAGGGUGAUCGGCCACACUGGGACUGAGACACGGCCCAGACUCCUACGGGAGGCAGCGGUAGGGAAUCUUCCACAAUGGGCGAAAGCCUGAUGGAGCAAUGCCGCGUGAGUGAUGAAGGAUUUCGGUUCGUAAAACUCUGUUGUAAGGGAAGAACAAGUAGCGUAGUAACUGGCGUUACCUUGACGGUACCUUAUUAGAAAGCCACGGCUAACUACGUGCCAGCAGCAGC